CCUUAUAUAUCUAAGUUUAAGAGCUGGGUUCUUACCUCAGUAAUGUGUUUUACACUAUAGGGU
rnacentral:tRNA from 5 species